CCCUCUGCCCCUCCGCCCCUCCGCCUGUCCGCCUCUCUCCUUCUCCCUUGUUCCCUCUCUCCCUCCCUGCUCCCCCACCUCCCUCCCGAGUCGUAGACUCCCUUCCCCCCGGCGCUGGGAGUCUCCUUCCCGCCCCGCCGCGCAGGUGCGGCGACGGCCGCGUCACUGGAGAGUGUGUCGAGUCACAGGCGGUCUUCCGCGCGGAGCGUCCCCGGCGGACGCUGCGCAGAUGGCUGCGACUGUAGGAUUCUUGCCGGCUAGUCUUCGUCGGUUCCGCCUGCGUCAGGUUACUCGUGAAAACUCGAAUAAGUGCUAUCGAUGUGAAAUCCGAGGAAAAGAGCAUUUGGGGGAAAAGUUAUUUCCUUCCAAUCCCAUCCCAAAUGGAGGUUGCAGCAGGGUAGAGUUUUUGGACAAUCUUGUUUACUGCUGCAUCCCCAGUGUCAAGAAGGCUGCCUGAACAUAGAAAGUCUUCAAUAUAUAUUUGCUGAAAUAAAAGUAAAAAUUCAGUCUGGUGUCUCCAUAAUCACAGCCAUGGCCUUGUAAACAGGUAGUGAUGCGGACAGAGCCAUCUGUGCUGCG
rnacentral:lncRNA from 1 species